GAGGGUAGAGCUCAGUUGUAGAGCACAUGCCUAGCAUCCAUGAGGUCCUGGGUUCAACCCCCAGAACCUCCA
rnacentral:tRNA from 1 species